UUCACGUUUCUUCCUCAGUCAUUGUCGAUCUCCGUCAAACUUUUUACCUUGCCCCUUGAAGCUCACCCACAUGGUGUACCUCAAACCCUGAACCUCACCCACAUUGUGUACCUCAAACCUAGCCUGCUGUCUCAAAAAUAUUAGGUUAUACGCCACUGUAAAGGAAAGGGUUUUAACUUCUAAGUGGAUCAAAUUUCUUGUGAAUUGUUUCAUCGUGCAGUCCAUGUCCCAAUUGCCCUAGCUGCGCUACCACACAAUACUCAAUACCUUUGUUAACAACGACGAUUGUUAUUCUUCCCUCCCUCGUCGCAUGCAACUUAUCUAUCAUUAUUUCUCAAAUCUAAAAGGUUGAGUUUUUGUUACGAUGAAAGUGAUGAAGAAGGGGAAAAGACACUCACACAGUGGGGAAAAGAAGAAGAAUAAGAGGUACAGAGAACAAAACCUUGAUGUUGAGAUAAUUGUUGCCACGCAGAACAGUGAAGUGCCAAUGGAAUGCAGGUUAAAGAGGCAAAAAAG